UACGUAGGGAGCAAGCGUUGUCCGGAAUCAUUGGGCGUAAAGCGCGCGUAGGCGGCCCUGUAAGUCCGUUGUGAAAGUCAAAGGCUCAACCUUUGAAAGCCGAUGGAUACUGCAGGGCUAGAGUCCGGAAGAGGCGAGUGGAAUUCCUGGUGUAGCGGUGGAAUGCGCAGAUAUCAGGAGGAACACCAAUAGCGAAGGCAGCUCGCUGGGACGGUACUGACGCUAAGGCGCGAAAGCGUGGGUAGCGAACAGG
rnacentral:rRNA from 1 species